AGAUUGAACGCUGGCGGCAGGCCUAACACAUGCAAGUCGAGCGGCAGCACGGGUACUUGUACCUGGUGGCGAGCGGCGGACGGGUGAGUAAUGCCUAGGAAUCUGCCUGGUAGUGGGGGAUAACGCUCGGAAACGGACGCUAAUACCGCAUACGUCCUACGGGAGAAAGCAGGGGACCUUCGGGCCUUGCGCUAUCAGAUGAGCCUAGGUCGGAUUAGCUAGUUGGUGGGGUAAUGGCUCACCAAGGCGACGAUCCGUAACUGGUCUGAGAGGAUGAUCAGUCACACUGGAACUGAGACACGGUCCAGACUCCUACGGGAGCAGCAGUGGGGAAUAGUUGGACAAGU
rnacentral:rRNA from 1 species